rnacentral:rRNA from 1 species
AUUGAACGCUGGCGGCAUGCCUUACACAUGCAAGUCGAACGGCAGCAUGGGUGCUUGCACCUGAUGGCGAGUGGCGAACGGGUGAGUAAUGCAUCGGAACGUACCCGGAAGUGGGGGAUAACGUAGCGAAAGUUACGCUAAUACCGCAUAUUCUGUGAGCAGGAAAGCGGGGGAUCGCAAGACCUCGCGCUUCCGGAGCGGCCGAUGUCGGAUUAGCUAGUUGGCGGGGUAAAGGCCCACCAAGGCAACGAUCCGUAGCGGGUCUGAGAGGAUGAUCCGCCACACUGGGACUGAGACACGGCCCAGACUCCUACGGGAGGCAGCAGUGGGGAAUUUUGGACAAUGGGCGCAAGCCUGAUCCAGCCAUGCCGCGUGAGUGAAGAAGGCCUUCGGGUUGUAAAGCUCUUUCGGCGGGGAAGAAAUCGCAUCUCCUAAUACGGGGUGUGGAUGACGGUACCCGAAUAAGAAGCACCGGCUAACUACGUG